rnacentral:rRNA from 1 species
GGUCAAUGGGCGCAAGCCUGAACCAGCCAUGCCGCGUGCAGGAGACUGCCCUAUGGGUUGUAAACUGCUUUAUACAGGAAGAACAACUCCCUCGUGAGGGAGCUUGACGGUACUGUAAGAAUAAGGAUCGGCUAACUCCGUGCCAGCAGCCGCGGUAAUACGGAGGAUCCAAGCGUUAUCCGGAAUCAUUGGUUAAAGGGUCCGUAGGUGGAUUAGUAAGUCAGAGGUGAAAUCCUGCAGCUCAACUGUAGAACUGCCUUUGAUACUGCUAGUCUUGAGUCAUUAUGAAGUGGUUAGAAUGUGUAGUGUAGCGGUGAAAUGCAUAGAUAUUACACAGAAUACCGAUUGCGAAGGCAGAUCACUAAUAAUGUACUGACACUGAUGGACGAAAGCGUGGGGAGCGAACAGGAUUAGAUACCCUGGUAG